UACGUAGGGCGCAAGCGUUAUCCGGAAUUAUUGGGCGUGAAGAGCUCGUAGGCGGUUUGUCGCGUCUGCUGUGAAAACCUAAGGCUCAACCUUGGGCUUGCAGUGGGUACGGGCAGACUAGAGUGCGGUAGGGGUGACUGGAAUUCCUGGUGUAGCGGUGGAAUGCGCAGAUAUCAGGAGGAACACCGAUGGCGAAGGCAGGUCACUGGGCCGCAACUGACGCUGAGGAGCGAAAGCAUGGGGAGCGAACAGG
rnacentral:rRNA from 1 species